rnacentral:lncRNA from 1 species
UGAGAUGGCAGUCUGAGGCACAUCACAGAGGAGAUGAUUGAAGGAAAUAGUCACUGGCCUGCCCAUCUUCCACCUUUAGAGGGGUUUAAAUUAAAUAUACUAAAGGUAACCACAGCAACAAUAACUUUCAAACCUAGUCUAGUUCCUGAGAAAGGUAACUAAAACUUCACAGUGGCUGGGCCAACAAGGUAAAAUAGUAGAAAAUACCCAAACAGAAAUAUAAGAACCAAAAUUAGAAAUGAUCUGAGAGCUGCAAGUCUUUAUCAUGUAGUGCAACAGGUCUGAAAGUAGAGUUCCAAAAAGAAGAAGAGCAGGAACAGUGGUCUAAGGGCAGUAACAGUCACCAAGUAGGAGAAACACUUCCAGUGUGCAUAUGCACAAACACACACACGCACAUUGGAGCUGCUAAAAGCAAAGGGCAAAUAGAAAUGCUUAAAGACAGCCAGUUAAUGACCUAUAGACCAAAGAUAGAAAAUUACCACUGUACCUCUCCUUCCAGCUGGUAAAGAAUGAAGCAACAAUGAACACAAAAAUCUCAUAUCACUAUACCCAGCAAAAAUGUUCUUCAAAAAUGCAAAGCCUUUUCAAACUAAAAAACGGGAAUUUCUUGCCAGCAGAAAUACUCUACAAGAAAUGUUACAGUUUUCUUGAAGAAGUAAUACUAGUGUCAUCAAAAUCUUUACUGUAUGCAGAGAAACGAAGAACAGAAGGAAUAAAAGAAUAAACAGUUUAUAAACCUUUUACUUUAGAAUAGCUUUUGAUUCAUUGGAAAGAUUACUAAAAUCAUAAGGUUCCCUUAUACUUCAUAUACAAUUUCUUUAACAGUUUAUAUUACUAUGACAGCUAUUAACAUUAAUGACCCAGUAUUAUAAAUUUUUACUAACUAAAGUUCAUAUUCACAUACAUUUCCUAAGUUUUAAACUUCAUCUUUCUUCAUGCCAGAGCCACUAUGUUUUAUAGCAUAUUUCAUUUAUUAAUCUUGUCUUCUUCAAUUCUUCUAGGCCAUGAGAGUUUCUAAGACUUGGCUUAAGUGACCUUAGCAUUUUUGAGGAACACUGCUCACAUGUUCUAUAAAAUGUCCUUCAGUUAAUGUUUGUUUGAUGUUUUUUCAAAUUAACUUGGAGUUACUAGUUUAGAAAGGUAGGCAGUGUCAUUUUUAUAUUAACUUAAGAGAUACUUAAGGAACAUUUCAUCAAAAUAGACCAUUAUGUUUCAUAAAAUAAAACUUAGCAAAUUUAUAAGAACUGACUCUGUCCAUAAUCAGUAGAAAUCAGUCUCAGAAAGGUAUCUUAAUGUAGAAAUAUAACCAUAAAUUUACCUUUAAAAAUAAUAUUUUCAUUAGUUAUUUAAAAAAUUUAUUCAGUGUAUUUUGAUGAAUUCACUCCCACAACUACAUCUAGAUAUCCUCCUACCCACCCAAAUUUGUGUCUUCUUUUUUAAAAACAAAACAAAAUUUACAGAGUCCCUUUGUGGUGUCAUUGUGGAAACUGUCCUCUAGUAUGGCCUACUAGGGAUCAUAACGUUAAAGGAAACUGACUCUCCAUCUCUUAGCAGCCAAUAGCUUCUCAGCUAGGGCUGGGACUUUGUGUCCACUUCUCCCAACUCCAUGCUGGAAUUCUGUCUAGCUUGAGCUUGCGUGGGCUUAUACAUUGCACCUAGUCACUGAGAGAGAGGUAACAGGUACAACUGCUCUGUUGUACCCAGAAAACACUCUGCUCGCAGUCAUCCACCACCUCCAGCCUUACCUCCAGUCUUUCUGUUCCCUCGUUUGUUAUGAUCCCUGAGCCUCACACUUUUAAAUAAUCUGCGGGCCUCAGAAGAAAAUAUCAAGGGAAAUUUAGCAGUACAUAUAGCUAGUAGUCAGGUCAAGAGUACUUCUUGCUCUAGUGGAAAGCCAUAUUCAACUAUCAGGACCUACAUCUCCUACAUCUAGUGGAAAGCCAUAUUCAACUAUCAGGGCCUACAUCUCCAAGGGAUCUGAUGCUCUGUUCUGGCCCCACAGGCCAUAUUCAUGUCCAUAGUCACACAUAAUUAAAUAAAUAACUGUUUAAAUGCCCAUAACUAACUGAAACCGCAAAUACAAAAUUCCAAAGUGUUGAGGGCCAUCAAGACCGUUGCUGGAGAAGCUGUUUAAGCAUUAAGUGCUUGUAUUAGAGAAAAAGAAAUGUCAGGGGUUGCCAGGUGGUUUAGCAGGUGUCUUCGUUAGGGUUUCCAUUGCUGUGACCAAAAAUCAAGUUGGAAAAGAAAGGAUUUAUUUGACUUAAAGUUCCAUAUCACAGGUCAUCAUCAAAGGAAGUCAGGACAGGAACUCAAGUUGGCCAGGAACCUGGAAGCAGGAGCUGAUGCAGAAGCUGCGGAGUAGUGCUGCUUACUGGCUUGCUUCCCAUGGCCUGCUCAUCCUGCUUUCUUCUAAAACCCAGGACCACUAAUGCAGAGAUGGCACCACCCACAAUGGAUUGGGUCCUUACCCCAUCAAUCACUAAUGUUGAAAAUCCUCUCCAGGUUUGACUAGCCUGAAGUUAUGGAGGCGUUUUCUCCAUUGAGAUUCUUUCCUCCCGGGUGACUUUAUCUUGCAUCAAAUCGACAUCACACUAUACCAGCACAGCAAGCAAAGUCACCUGCUCCCAAAGUUGACAGCCUGACUUCAAUCCUAGGAACUCACAGGGUAGGAAGAGAGAACUGACUCCUGGACAUUGACCUUUAACCUGCACACAUACACACCUGUGAAUGCACACACGGAGAAUAAAUAAAAUUAUUGAUAAGGAUGAAAAGAAGGUCCCAAGUUAGUCACCAUAGCUUUUACUUUGAGAAAGAAGAGAAAAUUUAACCCAGAGCAGUAAAAGAAAAAAAAGUAGCAGGAACUUUAAAAUGGAAAAAGAGUAGAGUCAAAGAGUCAAACUGAAAAAGAACUUGUUUUUUCUUUCCAGAUUAAUUUAAUUGAUCAUUUUUCUAGCCAUGCUGACCAAAGACAGAGACAUAGGUUCUAAAUACCAAGGCUGGGAGGGGAGCAAAAUGCAAAGGCUGCAGAAAGGAGAUGGCACAGGCAGUCCUGUCCCAAGAUACAGACUACCAGGAAAUUACUCAGCUCACCUAAGUGCUAAAUAAGGAAGUUGUAUUUUUCUUUUUAAAAUCUUCCAAAAUAGAAAUUCCAGCUCUAGAUGGUUUCACUACCAAAUUAUCAAACAUUUAAGGAAGAAUUAAUAGCAACUCAUCACUAUCUCAGAAAGGAAAAAAAAAGAGAGCACUUCUCCCUCAUUUUAUUAGGCAGCAUCUAUCUUAAUACAAAACCAGAAUAAGGCAUUGUAAACAAAAAUACCUAUAAGCCGGUUUCUUCAUGGACUGUCUAGACACAGAAAUCCUCAUGUACUUUCUAGUUCUGUCUGUUAAGAAUUCCUUGAGUAAUUUCAUCUAGUCGCUGAGUGUACCUGGUGCUCUCUCUGAUUGUGAUAUCUAAAUACCAUUAUCUAAUUCAGAGGCUAAGGGCUCCUUGGGGAAGUGGUGGGUUGUAGGGAAGCACAAAUAAGCCAGAGGAGCCAGGGAAUAAGGAUGUAUUAUUGAAAGGUCCCAGGGACCAUUCUUUC